UUUCCUUUUGCCUUGGGGACAAGCUCGCCUCUUCUUUCUCAAAGGAGGAAAAACACUGACGAAGCAGAAGGAGCAGGGGGAGCACUGUAAAGACAGAUGGGAUAUGGUUAAUUAACUGAAAGAUAAUGAGAUCUAACCACCAUAUUUCUUUGACUGGAAAAACACCGCUUGGGGGCUAGAGAGAUGGCUCAGUGGUAAAGAGCAUCGACUGCUCUUCUGAAGGUCCUGAGUUCAAAUCCCAGCAACCACAUGGUAGCUCACAACCAUCCGUAAUGAGAUCUGACGCCCUCUUCUAGUGCAUCUGAAGACAGCUACAGUGUACUUANNNNNNNNNNNGAUAUAAUAAUAAAAAAAUAAUAAUAAUAAUAAAACACAGCUUAGGGUUUGGAAAAAUACAAUUCUAAACUUACUUAACUUAUAUAUAGUCAACUGGUAAUUUUUCAAUGUGGAUAUUAUAGAGAUUGGCAACCAUACUCCAAAGCAAUUGAAUAUACUAAAACUAUAGUUACAUAUCUUAAAUUUUAGGGCGUUUUGUGAACUACAAAGAUUGCACAUCUAUUAUUAAAUAAUUGAAAUAGUUCAA
ensembl:antisense A230083N12Rik RIKEN cDNA A230083N12 gene